UGAGCAAAUAUUCCAAAUAAAACUGGUGCAAUCUGUGAUAUAAAUGAUGUUUUACUGAGGUCUGAUUGGAUUUCCUCAGAUUGAUAUGUUCCUCGAGAUACAUUUGCACGGUGAUAUUUCUCACAAUGGAAUGAUUGACAGGGUCCGGAUAUGCAUAUUUGAGAGGAAUGGUGGAUGGCUGGCAAUUC
rnacentral:ribozyme from 1 species